rnacentral:lncRNA from 1 species
UUCUCUCUUUGUAAUAAAUUUUCAGAAUUUAUUAUAAUAAAAUAGUUGAAUCAUAGAUAAUCACAUGAAUGUGAGAAGGCCAGCAGAACAAGACCCGCCGAUGUCUCAUUACCAACACCAACACUAGAAGAAACUUCAUAGAAACCAUCAGCCCUGCCCACAAGCACUCCAUACGCAGAAGCAGUUCUGGCUCGCUUCUUACCACCACAAGACCAAGAAGACAAACUUCCAAAUCCUUGCCCAUGGAUGCCUCGAAAUGUGUAGGAUCGCCCUUGAGAUUAAACCUCAAAGUACAACUUGUCUUUUUCACGAAAUCCAUACUUUAGCUGAGAUCCUUGUGGUUAUUUUUCUUUAAAUAUUUUUUUUCUUUUAAGAAUAGAAUGUAUAUUGUCAGUAUAUCCAAAUCAUGUUGAUGAUAUUUAAGCAUAUUUUUAUUCCACCGAUCUAACAUUUGAAUCAUGUCUAUACAUAAUUUUUCAUGUUUUUA